rnacentral:rRNA from 1 species
CCUACGGGUGGCAGCAGUGGGGAAUAUUGCACAAUGGGGGAAAGCCUGAUGCAGCGACGCCGCGUGAGUGAAGAAGUAUUUCGGAAUGUAAAGCUCUAUCAGCAGGGAAGAAGCAAGACGGUACCUGAAUAAGAAGACCCGGCUAACUACGUGCCAGCAGCCGCGGUAAUACGAAGGGGGCAAGCGUUAUCCGGAUUUACUGGGUGUAAAGGGAGCGUAGACGGUAUGGCAAGUCUGAAGUGAAAGCCCAGGGCUUAACCCUGGGACUGCUUUGGAAACUGUUAGACUAGAGUGCUGGAGAGGUAAGUGGAAUUCCUAGUGUAGCGGUGAAAUGCGUAGAUAUUAGGAGGAACACCGGUGGCGAAGGCGGCUUACUGGACAGUAACUGACGUUGAGGCUCGAAAGCGUGGGGAGCAAACAGGAUUAGAUACCCUGGUAGUC